rnacentral:lncRNA from 10 species
GCGCAAAAGGAGACGCGAGCAGCACCUCCCUGACCCCUCCCCCAACACCAGGAGUCCAAACGGCCCCAGAGCAGCAGCAAGACCCUUGGGACCCGCCCCCCGAGUGGAAGCCGCUGCUUUUCCGGGUCCCUGCAACCCAGAAAAGCCUACUGAAGGUUCUAGAACCAAGAAAGGCGAGGCAGGAGGGAGGCACCUAAACUCCUCAGGCUUGCACACGAAGCCUUCGUGGAAACUGUGAAACCAAUGCCCGGCGGGCCUUUCUCAACUGUGCCUUUCACCCUUUCCCUAGGGCUCCUCGCCGGCUCCGCCCCGGCCGCGCCCAGCCCCACCCACACGGGGCUCCGCAGACCCCCAACCUCCACAAGCCCGUCAAAUGAAUCUGAGGUCUUCCACCCCGGAGUACCGGGGCUUGGACAGCUCCAGAGCAUUGGGAAACCUUGAAGCCAAAGACCUUGAGAGACGGAUGGUCGAGUUUACAACAUCCACAACCGAAGACGACUAGGAAAAUGGGGAGGAGACCGAAAGACUCAGUGCGCAGUUGGAAAGCGAAGAGUUGCCACUAAAUUGCCGGAUAUAAAGAUGAAAGAUAUCUUGAUAAAACAGGGAAACGAUGCAGGAGUGUGUUAUCUAAGCUUUAGUGCCUUGAUCCUGUGCAUUCAAUUUUUGUUUCUUCAAGACAUUUAAGCUAUGAGGUGCAAAGAAAGUAUUAGUGAAUAUCUAUUAUGUGUCAGGCAGUUGCUGAAGUAAAUCAAUGGACAGUAUUUCUCCUAACCUUCAAAAAGUAGUUUUCUUUCUCCUUCUCUACUCCUUACCAGCUGUUCUUUCUUCUGUGCUCCUGACACCAGUAAAAAGGAAGCGUAGUUUCUUAAAAGGCAAAAAAGAAGUAGGGAGUAGGAGAGCAGAUUUUGUGGUCAAUGAUCCAAAACUGCCUUCUUUGAUAAGAAUUAGCAAGCACUGAGAACCUACUACGUGACAUGCUAUGUGACAAUACAAAACACUAUGAAGGAGAAUGAGAAGACUAAGGAAGGAGUCAACAGAAGGAGGCUUAUCCAACACUACUGAUCUGACCUACUUUUUACUUAGGAAGGUCAUAUUUCUCUACACUUUGCUCUUCCUGAGGAGAUAUACAACAACAUUGACAGAAACUGCUGGAAUAGUCUGAACUAGAAAACGUGUAGGCUACUUUAGAGACUUCUGAAGGCAUUCUGAAACCCCAAGUCAGGCACGGUCAGCAAGAGCAUUCAAGAUCCUAGGCAAAAUUGAAAAGUAACAGUUUAACACCUUCCUCCUCUUCCCUGAACCCAAGAACUUCUUUCCUACAAGCUGCCCUGUCAGAAUCUCCCACCUUACCAAGAAUGCCUUCCUCUCAAGGAUCUGAGGUUUCCUCAUAAAAAUUUUCCAUUUUCUGGGGAAGAAGUAAAUUUAUGUUGAUUUAGCAUUAAAAUAUAUGAUCAUAAGGUGUGAAUGACUGGUUAACAACCAUGCAUCCCCAAAGAGACAAGUUAACCCAAAUGAUCUCUCUAACUGGGGGAUCUGUGAGGACAACUUGGGAAGAAGGGGAAUGGAGAUUCUCUUUUGGUACUCCUUCCCUACACCAGGCAAACAUAUAACUAAAUACUAGAUACUUUAAAAAAACAAAACAAAAAAAAAACGCUGAACUUUGAAGAUUCAGUACUACAGAUCUCGGUGGGAGAGGAAAACUAUCCAUAGUUUUUCAAAGUGGAGUCCGCCUAACCUAGAGAGGUCGGGAGAUGUCAAGAAUCUGAGGGUCCUAUGAGAACUUUUAAGUGUUUUUAGAUGAUAUUCUAAAAAUAAUCAUACCACCACACACAUUUCAGGGAUCCAGUUUGGAUUUACCAUCAUGCAGGUACCAAGUAACCGCUUGUUUUUCUUUUUUAUUUUUUGUUUGCUUUGAGUAACCACUUAAAUGGUUACAUUCAACUUUUAAUGCAGCAUUCUCAUACUAAAGUUCUUGGUUGUAUACUUUGGAUAAUGUAAGAAAUUUCCUCCUUUAAAAGGCAUCCAUAUAUAACCGAAGGUUUAAGAAUGCCAAGCUAACUGCUAAAGUGAUGCUCCUAAGUUCCACCUUUUUCAGUUAUCAUAGCUCAACUUAUUGGUCCAGCCUAACACAAAAGUCUUUGCCUUGAUUUUCCUAGACUGCACGUUCAAGUAGAUUUUUCUGAAUAUUAAGGGGAAACAAACAAAAAACUAGAGAGAAUGCAUGCAAUUAAACAGUCUGGCCUAGAAUGUACACAGUUUUGAUCCUAGAUUGUUCUAUAAACACAUAGGCACUAUCUCAUUUACAUGCACACUUUUCCUAUUCAGCAAAUAUCUGAGUGCCUACUAUAUGCUGAGGAUAGGGGAAAGGCUGGCACCCCAUGCACUUUUCAGAUGUCUACAGCAGAACCCCAAAGAUUGGCACAACUUAAGUAACAGAAUCCACCAAGACAAACUUCCUCAUCCAAUCUAUUCAGAUCCAAUCCUUUCGGUUCUGAUUUCUAAAACAUCCUCUGUCAACUGACAAAAAGACCUCACUCUUCAGAUGAAACCACUACCAUGAACAAACUCCUGGACUAUGGCCUUGUUUAAAAUAUCAAUAUAAUAAAGAACAUUCAUAAAAUAAGGGCUACAUACAGACUGAGUUGCAAAAGAUGCUUGUUUUUUUUUUUGUUUUGUUUUGUUUUUACAAAAAGUCCUUCGGCCAGGUGCGGUGGCUCAGUCCUGUAAUCCUAGCACUUUGGGAGUCCGAGGCAGGCAGAUUGCCUAAGGUCAGGGGUUCAAGACCAGUCUGGCCAACAUGGUGAAACCCCGUCUCUACUAAAAAUAUAAAAAAAUUAGCCGGGCAUGGUGGCGUGCGCCCAUAAUCCCAGCCACACGGGAGGCUAAGGCAAGGGAAUUGCUUGAACAAGGGAGGUGGAGGUUGCAGUGAGCCGAGAUCGCGCCACCGCACUCCAGCCUGAACGACAGAGCAAGACUCCAUCUCAAAAAAAAAAAAAAAAAAAAAAAAAAAAAAAAGGGCCUUCACUAGCCAACCUGAAAAUUCAGGUCCUAGGCAGAGGGUAAAAAGAGAAUCAUAGACAACUCCAUCCUUGCCCACCAUUUAGUACUACAACUGAAAUCAAGUCAUGCUGGGGGGCAAAGUAUGAUUGCCACCAAUAUCUGUAAUGAAGGAAUUAAGGAAUUAAAAAUUAACGAUUUAAGGAAUUAAAAAUGGCAAGAUAUCUGCCUUCAAGGAGCUAAUAAUGUACCCAAAGAGGAACUUUUAAGACUUUCUGGGCUGGGCGCAGUGGUUCACGCCUGUAAUCCCAGCACUUUGGGAGGCAGAGGCAGAAGGCAGGUGGAUCGCAUGAACCCAGGAGUUCAAAACCAGCCUGGACAACAUAGUGAGAACCCAUCUCUGCAAAAUAUUAAAAAAUUAGCCAAGUGUGGUGGUGCCUGCAGUCCCAGCUACUCAGGAGGCUGAAGUGAGAGAAAUGCUUGACCACAGGAGGUCGAGGCUACAGUGAGCUGUGAUUGUGCCACUGCACUCCAGUCUGGGCAACAGUGAGACCUACCCCCCAACCCUGUCUCUUAAAGAAAGAAAAGAGUUUCUUAAUCAGCAUAGUAAUAUUAAAAGCAUGUUUUAGAAAAUGUUAAGAGAAGGGAGGAUGAAAAGAAGGACAGAAAUGUUACGGAAUAUAAUCAACAUUCAUUAAGAAACACCCACUGGCUCAUGCCUGUAAUCCCA